rnacentral:pre_miRNA from 1 species
GGUUAAAAGUUUCAUGCCUUUCUACUAUUAAAAACUGGCAUGGUUGACGAAAUAACUAAACAGUUAUACAUAACUUGUCAAAUGUGCCUCAAAGACCAGCUUUUAAUAGUAAAAUUAGAUAGAAUUUUUAAUA